UACGACCAUAUAAUGUUCAAACAUCGGUUCCCGUACGAACACCGAAGUUAAGCAACGUUAAGUCUACUCAGUACCUGGAUGGGUGACUGCC